UACGUAGGGUGCUAGCGUUGUUCGGAAUCAUUGGGCGUAAAGCGCGUGUAGGUGGUUAGUUAAGUCGGGUGUGAAAUCCCUGGGCUCAACCGAGGAAGUGCAUCCGAAACUAACUAGCUAGAGAAUGGUAGAGGAAGGUGGAAUUCCUAGUGUAGAGGUGAAAUUCGUAGAUAUUAGGAGGAAUACCGGUGGCGAAGGCGGCCUUCUGGACAGUGACUGACGCUGAGACGCGAAAGCGUGGGGAGCAAACAGG
rnacentral:rRNA from 1 species